AUUGAACGCUGGCGGCAGGCCUAACACAUGCAAGUCGAGCGGAGCGGCGGACGGGUGAGUAAGGCAUAGGAAGCAGCCUGGUAGUGGGGGAUAACGUCCGGAAAGGGGAGCUAAUACAGCAUACUAUCAGAUGAGGCUAGGCUGGAUUAGCUAGUUGGUGGGGUAAAGGCCUACCAAGGCGACGAUACGUACCUGGUCUGAGAGGAUGAUCAGUCACACUGGAACUGAGACACGGUCCAGACUCCGACGGGAGUCAGCAGUGGGGAAUAUUGGACAAUGGGCGAAAGCCUGAUCCAGCCAUUCCGCGUGUGUGAAGAAGGUCUUCGGAUUGUAAAGCACUUUAAGUUGGGAGGCGUUACCAACAGAAUAAGCACCGGCUAACUUCGUGCCAGCAGCCGCGGUAAUAC
rnacentral:rRNA from 1 species